CCUACGGGUGGCAGCAGUGAGGAAUAUUGGUCAAUGGGCGCGAGCCUGAACCAGCCAAGUCGCGUGAGGGAUGAAGGUUCUAUGGAUCGUAAACCUCUUUUAUAAGGGAAUAAAGUGUGGGACGUGUCCUAUUUUGUAUGUACCUGAUGAAUAAGGAUCGGCUAACUCCGUGCCAGCAGCCGCGGUAAUACGGAGGAUCCGAGCGUUAUCCGGAUUUAUUGGGUUUAAAGGGUGCGUAGGCGGCCUUUUAAGUCAGCGGUGAAAGUCUGUGGCUCAACCCUGGGAUUGCCGUUGAAACUGGGGGGCUUGAGUAUGUUAGAGGCAGGCGGAAUGCGUGGUGUAGCGGUGAAAUGCUUAGAUAUCGCGCAGAACCCCGAUUGCGAAGGCAGCCUGCCGAGCCAUGACUGACGCUGAUGCACGAAAGCGUGGGGAUCAAACAGGAUUAGAUACCCGUGUAGUC
rnacentral:rRNA from 1 species